CUAUCUGUUUUGAUAGUUGAUAAAAAGAUUCUUGUUUUUGAUAAUGCAUGUGUGAGUGAAUCUAUAGACCGUCGAUUAAUGCAUGGUAUGAUUAUGCAACUUUGUGAACCAUGUGAAUCUUUUCAAAUACCUACUUGUGACGAUUAUGUUUACCAUUUGAUUUAUUACUCGCAAUUUAUUCAUGGUUUGUGGGAACAAUGUGAGACGACUGAAUGCCUUAAAACAUGUCCAUCUUUGUUUCAAAUAUUUGACGAGACAGUGGUGAGUAAAUUAGAUUGUUUGCAUGGUAAUCUGAAUCUGUCCAUUCACAUGCGUUAUACAUGUUCUAUUAUGCUUAUGAUUGGACUACAAGCUUAUUUCCGUUGCUAUUUACUAUCUCAUGGCUAUUCUUCUCAGUGGACUCAAUUGCCAUU
rnacentral:lncRNA from 1 species